GUUCAUUGUCUGCAAGAUAUCCAACCAGACGGUAAAGCAUUUGUCUUAAAUCAAUAAUUGAGAAGCAUCCAAUGUUAUUCAUUUCCACAAAUAAAGCCUUGGAGUUUAGUGGAUGUGUGACCUUUUAAAUUAUAUAACAUUUGUGACAAAUUGCACCAUUCUUAUAACACCAAGUUGUUGAUGCUUGUUAAAUUUAGUUGUGUUCAUUUCUUUUGUGUGUGUCAAAUCUGUUAUUUUAAUAGGUUCUAAACUUCAAACACAAAUUUGACCCGUUAAAAUUGACAAGUUACUCGACCCGCCCAUUUUACCCGUUGAGGACAAUAUUUACUUCAAUAAAUAAUCUAAUGAAAAAAAAACUGCAUACUAUAUUACUAAACAUUAACAUAUGAAUUCAUAAGUUCCCUUUGAUUCAGCAAUACAACUAUAAUCAUUUCAUUAAGCACUACAUCUACAUGCCACAUAAAUUGAGAAAGAAAUGAUAGAGAGUUAGGACUUUAGAUUAACGGGUUAAAAUAAAUUGAGAGAGAAACUGAUAGAGCUAGGACUUUAAUUUAACGGGUUAAAACGGGUUGAAAUGGGUUACUCGUGGGUAGACCUGAAGCAACUUGUUAUUUAACGAGUGCUUAACAGAUUGACACAAUAAAACACAUGAUCUGUUAAGUUACUCGACCCGCCCAUUUUACCCGUUGAGGACAAUAUUUACUUCAAUAAAUAAUCUAAUGAAAAAAAACUGCAUACUAUAUUACUAAACAUUAACAUAUGAAUUCAUAAGUUCCCUUUGAUUCAGCAAUACAACUAUAAUCAUUUCAUUAAGCACUACAUCUACAUGCCACAUAAAUUGAGAAAGAAAUGAUAGAGAGUUAGGACUUUAGAUUAACGGGUUAAAAUAAAUUGAGAGAGAAACUGAUAGAGCUAGGACUUUAAUUUAACGGGUUAAAACGGGUUGAAACGGGUUACUCGUGGGUAGACCUGAAGCAACUUGUUAUUUAACGAGUGCUUAACAGAUUGACACAAUAAAACACAUGAUCUGUUAAGUCUCAACUCGAAACUUUUUUUUUUUUCACGUCACUUCAUGACGAUUUAACGUGUUAUGCAUGAAAUUGCCAAGUCUGCUUAUAAUGAUUGACCAAUUUUUUAUUACUGUUAUAUUAUUUCAUAGUGUUACUAAUUCAUAUAUUACAAUAUCAGCGAACGCCAUAGUUAAAUUUCAUGGUUAAUGUUAACAUAGAUAAAUAAAUUGAUACCGCCAUAUUGUGAUGUCAACAUCAAUUAAAAAGGUUACUCAUUCUUGAUAACACCAAGUUGUGUAAUGGCACUUAACUUAGAAGUUAUUCAUUCUUUUCAACUUAUCCAUCUAUUCUCUUUACUACUAACUAUAAAGACCUUACAAUUAAAUUAUCCCCUUUUCUAUCAAUUGAAAAAAUAACAAAUUCCAACUUGGGAUACAAUUCAGAUGUGGGUUGAGUCAGUUGGUUAAAGUAACGUGCUUCUUCACACAAGUUUGAAUCCCUCGUGUCGAUGAAUUCAAUGUAAUUAUCUUAUUGUUUGUCCAAACAAAAACAAAAAAAUGAAGUGGACACAAAUUUUGAAUUAGAGUUGAGAGAAAAUAGAAUCACCUCUUGGGUAGAAUGAGUUAUGAACAACCAAAUUAACUAGGAAGACUAUAUGAACAUUGAAGCAAACAGUAUGAUCACGCUAAAGGUUCCCAGCAGGAGCUAGCUAGCAGCUGGGUUUAUAAAUCAUAUAACCAACAAAAUUCCUGAUUAAAUUCGCAUAUAUUGAUAUCUUGAAUAAAAAUCUUUAUCGUUCUGCCUUAAAAGAAAAAAGAAUCGCAAAUAUAUAAAUGGCCGGAUGGAUUACAUCUCUCACAACUUAAUUAGGCUAAUUAAUAACAAAGUGAGCCAAAAUCUUAAUAAUAUUACAAACCUCCACUGGAAAAAGGAAAUGGAGCAAUUAAAUGAACCAAAAGAACAAAUAUAUAUAUAUAUAUAUAUAUAUCGUGCCAACCUGAAUCUUUUUACAGAAAUAAGAGAUGAAAUCAAAUGGUGAAUAUAUUUAAGGAAGAAAACCAACGAAAUUAACUGGAGCUGUGGAAUAGUGAGAUGAAUAACUUGUUAGCUGUGGAGAGAAGUUGUGCUGAAGAGCUACCUCGACUGCCUGAGCGAUAACGAGGACGAGCUCGAACGCCAGUUUCAGUAGAUCCAUGCACAUUUCCAGUCUCUGAAUCACCAUUGCUAUGUUGCUGUAUUGCUAGGUAAAGACUUUCUCUUUCUUUAUCUUCUUUUUUGCUCUUUCUGUUCUCCCCUUAUAUCACUUUCCUAUCCAUAUUCUUGACAGACCUACUUGUAUUUAUAUC
rnacentral:lncRNA from 1 species